UGAGGGAAAGGUGAAAAGAACCCCGAGAGGGGAGUGAAAUAGAACUGAAACCAUAAACCUACAAACCGUGGGAGCUUGUAUUUAUAUGAGUGACCGCGUGCCUAUUGAAGAAUGAGCCAACGAGUUACUUGGUACGGCAAGAUUAAGAAGUUAAGCUUUGAAGUCGAAGCGAAAGCAAGUCUGAAUAGGGCGAAUUAGUCGUGUCAAGUAGACCCGAAACCGUGUGAGCUACCUAUGGCCAGGUUGAAGCGAGAGUAAAAUCUUGUGAAGGACCGAACCCGUGUACGCUGCAAAGUGCUGGGAUGAGCUGUGGGUAGAGGUAAAAUGCCAAACGAACACGGAGAUAGCUGGUUCUCUCCGAAAUGUAUUUAGGUACAGCGUUAUGUAAUACUUCAUGGAGGUAGAGCACUGGAUAGACUAGGGGGCGCAAGCUUACCAAACCUAACCAAACUCCGAAUACCAUGAAGGGUAUCAUAGCAGUGAGACUGUGGGGGAUAAGCUCCAUUGUCGAAAGGGAAACAGCCCAGAUCGCAAGUUAAGGUCCCUAAGUAUAUGCUAAGUGUUAAACGAAGUAGGGUCGCCCAGACAGCCAGGAGGUUGGCUUAGAAGCAGCCAUCCUUUAAAGAGUGCGUAAUAGCCCACUGGUCAAGGGGCCCCGCACGGAAAAUAAACGGGGCUAAGCAUAUCACCGAGACUGCGGGAUCUAUUUAUAGAUCGGUAGGAGAGUGUCGUUAAAGCAUUGAAGCUAAGCUGUAAGGCUUGGUGGAGUUUUAACAAGUAAGAAUGUUGGCAUGAGUAGCAAAAAUGCCGGUGAGAAUCCGGCAGGCCGUAAGUCUAAGGAUUCCUACGCAACGUUGAUCGGCGUAGGGUUAGUCGGUCCUAAGGCGUAUCCGAAAGGAAAAGUCGAUGGACAGCUGGUGAAUAUUCCAGCACCUAUAAUUAAUUGUUUGAGUCAAAGGGGUGACGCAGAAAGAUAAACAGAGCAUACGUAUUGGACAUCGUGUGUUUUUGCCUGUAGAUGAGUAGAGAAGGUUAAAAUAUUUUCUACGUUUGAAUUGAGGGGUAAGAAAACUAUGAGGUUCGCCUCGUAGAAUUCUGUCGACUCUAAACUGCCAAGAAAAGCCUCGUUGAUUAGAUUUUUCAUAGACCGUACCGCAAACCAACACAGGUAGACAGGGAUAAACGUCCCAAGGCCAUCGAGAGAACCAUCGUUAAGGAACUCGGCAAAUUGACCCCGUAACUUAGGGAGAAGGGGGACCUUUUGUGUAUAUGAGUUUACCUCAAAAAGCAUGGAAGGUAGCAUAAAAUAGGCUGAAGCGACUGUUUACCAAAAACACAGGUCCAUGCCAAAGCGAAAGCUGAUGUAUAUGGGCUGACGCCUGCCCAGUGCCGGUAGGUUAAGGAAAGUUGUGCAAGCAACUGACUGAAGCCCCGGUGAACGGCGGCCGUAACUAUAACGGUCCUAAGGUAGCGAAGUCCCUUGUCGGGUAAGUUCCGACCCGCACGAAUGGCGUAACGACUUCAGCACUGUCUCAACGAUGGACUCGGUGAAAUUGCAGGACCGGUAAAGAUGCCGGUUACGCGCAGCAGGACAAAAAGACCCCGUGGAGCUUUACUGCAACUUGGCAUUGGUUCGAGUUUUAAAAUGUGUAGGAUAGGCGGGAGACUUUGAACUCUAGGCGUUAGCCUAGGGGGAGUCGCCCUUGAAAUACCGCCCUUUUUAUGAUUUGGACCUAACACUUUUGGACAGUGUCUGGUGGGCAGUUUGACUGGGGCGGUCGCCUCCCAAAG
rnacentral:rRNA from 1 species